rnacentral:rRNA from 1 species
GACGGAGGGUGCAAGCGUUGUUCGGAAUUACUGGGCGUAAAGGGCGCGUAGGCGGUUUGCUAAGUUCGGUGUGAAAGCCCCUGGCUCAACUGGGGAACGGCGCUGGAAACUGGCAGACUAGAGUACCGGAGAGGAGGGUGGAAUUCCUGGUGUAGCGGUGAAAUGCGUAGAUAUCAGGAGGAACACCGGUGGCGGAGGCGGCCCUCUGGACGGAUACUGACGCUGAGGCGCGAAAGCGUGGGGAUCAAACAGG